rnacentral:rRNA from 2 species
AGCGGCGGACGGGUGAGUAACACGUGGGCAACCUGCCCUUGAGACGGGGAUAACUCCGGGAAACCGGAGCUAAUACCGGAUAACACAUAUCUUCGCAUGAGGAUAUGUUAGAAGGUGGCUUUUAGCUACCACUCAAGGAUGGGCCCGCGGCGCAUUAGCUAGUUGGUGAGGUAACGGCUCACCAAGGCGACGAUGCGUAGCCGACCUGAGAGGGUGAUCGGCCACACUGGGACUGAGACACGGCCCAGACUCCUACGGGAGGCAGCAGUAGGGAAUCUUCCGCAAUGGACGAAAGUCUGACGGAGCAACGCCGCGUGAGUGAUGAAGGUUUUCGGAUCGUAAAGCUCUGUUGUUAGGGAAGAACAAGUACCUGUUAAAUAAGCAGGUACCUUGACGGUACCUAACCAGAAAGCCACGGCUAACUACGUGCCAGCAGCCGCGGUAAUACGUAGGUGGCAAGCGUUGUCCGGAAUUAUUGGGCGUAAAGCGCGCGCAGGCGGUUCCUUAAGUCUGAUGUGAAAGCCCACGGCUCAACCGUGGAGGGUCAUUGGAAACUGGGGAACUUGAGUGCAGAAGAGGAGAGCGGAAUUCCACGUGUAGCGGUGAAAUGCGUAGAGAUGUGGAGGAACACCAGUGGCGAAGGCGGCUCUCUGGUCUGUAACUGACGCUGAGGCGCGAAAGCGUGGGGAGCGAACAGGAUUAGAUACCCUGGUAGUCCACGCCGUAAACGAUGAGUGCUAAGUGUUAGAGGGUUUCCGCCCUUUAGUGCUGCAGCAAACGCAUUAAGCACUCCGCCUGGGGAGUACGGUCGCAAGACUGAAACUCAAAGGAAUUGACGGGGACCCGCACAAGC